AUGCAUGGAUCGGCCUCUAUUACAAGCUCAAAUGAUGUGUGCCCAACAACAUCAAGUCUUAAUCAGCAAAAAGUGUAUGGGAGAGAUUCAGAGAUGAGCACCAUCAUAAAGAUGAUUACAUCUGAUAAACAUGAAGGUGUGUCUGUACUGCCUAUUGUAGGCAUUGGAGGAGUUGGCAAGACAACUCUCACACAACUCGUAUAUAAUGAUCCAACAGUAAAAGAGCAGUUUGAACGGAAAUGGCUAUGGGUGUCAAACAGCUUUGAUGAAGUAAGGCUUACAAGAGAGAUGUUAGACUUCAUUUCUCAAGAAAGUCAUGAAGGAAUAAAUGAUCUUGCGAAGCUUCAGGAGAUCUUGAAGGUACAUAUGGAGUUCCACUCGGAAAGGUUUCUGCUCAUUUUAGAUGAUGUCUGGGACACUCUGGAUGAUUACCUAUGGAACAAACUGUUGUCUCCAAUGCUAUCAACUCGUGUGAAGGGCAAUGUGAUUAUUAUCACAACUAGAAAUUUCUCUGUUGCACAAAGGAUAGGUACCCUUGAACUGGUCAACUUAGGUGCUUUGGCAAAUGAUGAUUUUUGGUUAUUGUUCAAAUCAUGUGCAUUUGGUGAUGAGAACUACGAAGAGCAUCAAACUCUAGGCAUCAUCGGGCAUCAAAUAGCAGAGAAGUUAAUGGGCAACCCGUUAGCAGCUGGAUCUGCAGGAGAACUAUUAAGAAAGCAGCUUACUGUUGAUCAUUGGAGUACCAUUUUGAAGAAUGAAUGUUGGAAAUCCUUGCAACUAAGCAGGGGCAUCAUGUCUGCUUUAAAGCUUAGCUAUGAUCAACUACCCUACCAUCUACAACAAUGUUGCUCAUACGUUUCUAUAUUUCCCUACAACCAUCAGUUUCUUGGUGAUGAGUUGGUCCGCAUUUGGAUUUCACAGGGUUUUGUGAAGUGUAAUCACUCAGGUAAGAAAUUGGAGGAGACAGGACAUGAUUAUCUGACUGAUUUGGUAAAUCUAGGCUUCUUGCAGCAAGUUGAAUGCAAAUACGAGAGCAUCCGUUUUCGAGAUGAAAUUUUUGUCAUGAGAUUCCAUAAUCGAGUUGUAAGAGAAGAGCCAUUUCAACGCGGACAAACUUGCUAUGCUAUGUGUGGCCUUAUGCAUGAUUUUGGACGGGUGGUUUCAAGAAAUGAGUGUGCAAUUAUAGAUAAUCUAUGGUGCAACGAAAUUUUGCCAACUGUACAACAUUUGUCAAUAGUAACCGACUCUGCAUACUGCAAGAAUCAGGAUGGAAGGAUACCACGUAGCUACAAGUUUGAAGAAAAAUUGAGAAAUACAGUUACAUCAGUAAGAAGAUUGAGGACACUGGUGUUAAUUGGGCAGUAUGACUCUUUUUUCUUCCAAUCCUUUCAAGAUAUAUUCAAAAAGGCACAUAAUUUACGUCUGCUGCAAAUGUCUGCAACAACUUCUGAUUUUAGUUCCUUCGUGUGCACUUUAGUAAAUCCUACCCAUCUUCGCUAUCUGAAGGCUCCUACGCCAGGAGUGGCUUUACCUCAAGUUUUGAGCAAGUUCUACCAUCUUCAAGUAUUAGACACUGGCUCAUACAUUCAUCCAAUGAUACCUAAUGGUAUCCAUAAUCUUGUGAGCCUGCGUCAUAUUGUUGUAGAAGGACUAUCCUCUUCCAUUCCUUGCAUUGGUAAAAUGACAUCCCUUCUGGAGCUACAUGAUUUUAGGGUUCAAAAUACUAGCAGCUUUGAGAUAACACAACUUCAGUCCAUGAAUGAGCUUCUGCAACUAGGUGUCUCACGACUUGAAAAUGUUACCACUAAAGAUGAGGCUGAUGGAGCAAAAUUGAGGGACAAAAUACACUUAGAAAAGCUGCGCUUGUCGUGGAAGUAUAAUGAUCACAGUGGCAAAGCAAGAGAGGUGCUCGAGGGUCUUGAACCACAUCCAGGCUUGAAGCAUCUGCGGAUAUUUGGGUACAAUGAAAUAAUGGAAGCAACGUUUCCUUCAUUGGAGGAGCUGGUUUUAGUUGAAAUGCCAAAGUUGGAGAAAUGUUCCUGCAGUUCAAUGUGGGAUAUGAACUCUAGUUUAAGAGUACUGAAUAUCAAGAUAUGUAGUGCACUGAAGGUGUUUGAUUUGCUUGAUGGGGGCAUUAAAUUCGAAAGCAAGCAGAAAUUAUGGUUGCCCGGUCUUAGAAAGCUAAUUAUCUACGAUUGUCCUCACUUGAAAGUAAUGCACCCUCUUCCACCUUCAACCAUAUGUUCUGAAUUGUUUAUCAACAGAGUUUCAACACUGCCAAGGAUGGAGGGAUCAUCCGGAGAAACAUUAAAAAUCGACGGUCCAAUUUUUUUACAUGAUGGGUGGUUUUAUGAGAUGUGGACACAGGGGCCUUAA
rnacentral:rRNA from 1 species